CCUACGGGGUGCAGCAGUGGGGAAUAUUGGACAAUGGGCGAAAGCCUGAUCCAGCCAUGCCGCGUGUGUGAAGAAGGCCUUCGGGUUGUAAAGCACUUUCAGUGGGGAAGAAAGCCUUGGGGCUAAUACCCUCGAGGAAGGACAUCACCCACAGAAGAAGCACCGGCUAACUCCGUGCCAGCAGCCGCGGUAAUACGGAGGGUGCGAGCGUUAAUCGGAAUUACUGGGCGUAAAGCGCGCGUAGGCGGUCUGAUAAGCCGGUUGUGAAAUCCCCGGGCUCAACCUGGGAACGGCAUCCGGAACUGUCAGGCUAGAGUGCAGGAGAGGAGGGUAGAAUUCCAGGUGUAGCGGUGAAAUGCGUAGAGAUCGGGAGGAAUACCAGUGGCGAAGGCGGCCUUCUGGACAGAGACUGACGCUGAGGUGCGAAAGCGUGGGUAGCAAACAGGAUUAGAUACCCCAGUAGUC
rnacentral:rRNA from 1 species